UACGGGAGGCAGCAGUGGGGAAUAUUGGACAAUGGGCGAAAGCCUGAUCCAGCCAUGCCGCGUGUGUGAAGAAGGCCUUUUGGUUGUAAAGCACUUUAAGUGGGGAGGAAAAGCUUGUGGUUAAUACCCAUAAGCCCUGACGUUACCCACAGAAUAAGCACCGGCUAACUCUGUGCCAGCAGCCGCGGUAAUACAGAGGGUGCAAGCGUUAAUCGGAAUUACUGGGCGUAAAGCGAGCGUAGGUGGCUGUUUAAGUCAGAUGUGAAAGCCCCGGGCUUAACCUGGGAACUGCAUCUGAUACUGGACAGCUAGAGUAGGUGAGAGGGGAGUAGAAUUCCAGGUGUAGCGGUGAAAUGCGUAGAGAUCUGGAGGAAUACCGAUGGCGAAGGCAGCUCCCUGGCAUCAUACUGACACUGAGGUUCGAAAGCGUGGGUAGCAAACAGGAUUAGAUACCCUGGUAGUCCACGCCGUAAACGAUGUCUACCAGUCGUUGGGUCCCUUGAGGACUUAGUGACGCAGUAACGCAAUAA
rnacentral:rRNA from 1 species